rnacentral:rRNA from 1 species
CAGUCGCCGCGGGAAUACGUAGGGUGCGAGCGUUAAUCGGAAUUACUGGGCGUAAAGGGCGUGUAGGCGGCCUGGGGCGUCCCAUGUGAAAGGCCACGGCUCAACCGUGGAGGAGCGUGGGAUACGCUCAGACUAGAGUAUGGUAGAGGGUGGUGGAAUUUCCUGUGUAGCGGUGAAAUGCGUAGAUAUAGGAAGGAACACCAGUGGCGAAGGCGACCACCUGGACUAAUACUGACACUGAGGUGCGAAAGCGUGGGGAGCAAACAGGAUUAGAUACCCGGGUAGUCCCUGUCUCUUAUAC